GACGAACGCUGGCGGCGUGCCUAAUACAUGCAAGUCGAACGCAGUGGGGACGGGUGAGUAACACGUUGGUAACCUCCCAUCAGAGGGGAUAACACUUGGAAACAGGUGCUAAACCGAUACUGAUGGAUGGACCCGCGGUGCAUUAGCUAGUUGGUGAGGUAACGGCGCACCAAGGCCACGAUGCAUAGCGGACCGGGAGGGGUGAUCGGCACAGCUGGGACGGAGACACGGCCCGGACUCCUACGGGAGGAGGCAGUAGGGAACUUUCGGCAAUGGACGAAGGCCUGACCAGGAAAGGCGGGGGGAGGGAGGAAGGUUUUCGGAUGUAAAAACUCGGUUGUUAGGGAAGCGGUAUCUAACCAGAAAGCCACGGCUAACUACGUGCCAGCAGCCGCGGUAAUAC
rnacentral:rRNA from 1 species